rnacentral:rRNA from 1 species
UACGUAGGGUGCAAGCGUUAAUCGGAAUUACUGGGCGUAAAGCGUGCGCAGGCGGUUGUGCAAGACAGAUGUGAAAUCCCCCGGGCUUAACCUGGGAAUUGCGUUGGAGACUGCAAGGCUGGAGUCUGGCAGAGGGGGGGUAGAAUUCCACGUGUAGCAGUGAAAUGCGUAGAGAUGUGGAGGAACACCGAUGGCGAAGGCAGCCCCCCUGGGUCAAAAACUGACGCUCAUGCACGAAAGCGUGGGGAGCAAACAGG